UACGGAGGGUGCGAGCGUUGUCCGGAAUCACUGGGCGUAAAGGGCGCGUAGGUGGCGCGACAAGUCAACGGUGAAAGCCUGGGGCUCAACCCCGGGUCGGCCGUCGAUACUGUUGGGCUCGAGCACUGUAGAGGCAGGUGGAAUUCCGGGUGUAGCGGUGGAAUGCGUAGAGAUCCGGAAGAACACCGGUGGCGAAGGCGGCCUGCUGGGCAGUAGCUGACACUGAGGCGCGACAGCGUGGGGAGCAAACAGG
rnacentral:rRNA from 1 species